rnacentral:rRNA from 1 species
GGAGGGGGCUAGCGUUGCUCGGAAUUACUGGGCGUAAAGGGCGCGUAGGCGGAUUUCUCAGUCAGGCGUGAAAGCCCCGGGGCUCAACCCGGGAACUGCGUUUGAUACUAGAAGUCUAGAGAUCUGGAGAGGGUGGUGGAAUUCCCAGUGUAGAGGUGAAAUUCGUAGAUAUUGGGAAGAACACCGGUGGCGAAGGCGGCCACCUGGCCAGACACUGACGCUAAGGCGCGAAAGCGUGGGGAGCAAACAGGAUUAGAUACCCUGGUAGUCCACGCCGUAAACGAUGUGUGCUAGACGUCGGGCAGCUUGCUGUUCGGUGUCGCAGCUAACGCGUUAAGCACACCGCCUGGGGAGUACGGUCGCAAAGAUUAA